UUUUGCAUUUGGCCUCCAGGAAAAAAUUUAUUUUACAAAUAGCCUCAGCAAAUUUAUAUUUACAAAAAUGACCUUACCCCUACCGCGUAGGCACCAUGUGAGCAGGGCUGGGGCCAAUUUAUUAAGUUGAACACGGUGAAUCAUUCAUCGUGUCUAAACAUAAUGAAUGGUUCAUCGUGUUCCAUACCUAUAUUCCCCUUCUUCCCAUUCGCCACGUAGGUGCCUGCGUGGCGAGGAUAUGGCCAAAUUUACAAUUAUAAAUUUGAUGGGCUAUUUGUAAAAAAAUAUAUCUUGAGGGGGCCAAAUCCAAAAAAGCCCUAUAUAAAAAAAUAUAUUUAUUUAUUUAUAUUUUAAAGAAAAUAUUUUAUUUUAAUAUAAAUAUAUUUAUUAUAUAAUAUUUUAUCAUAUAAAUAUUAUUUAUAAAUAGAUAAUAAUGUUAUUUUAUAGUAUUAAAUAUGUACUACCGACCGUUCCUAGAGCAAGUGGCAAAGGGCUUGAUGGUUAGUAUCCGAGACCCAAGUUCGAAUCCUAAUUGAUUCAUAUUUCCAGCUAAGUUUGUUUCUAAAUAAAAUAAACGAAACAGGUAGCGUGCUACCUAUCUCUCAAAAAAGCACUAUUAUAUAUUAUAUUACGAAUAAUAUAUUUUAAAUAUAUUUUGUUUAUAAAUAUAAAUUAUAAUACUAAUAUAUAUAAUAUGAUAAUUAUUAUAUAUAAAUAAUAUAUAUAAUAAGAAAAUAUAUAUAAUAAUGUAUUAUUUAUAAAUUUUUCGUUUUUUUCCUUUCAAUCAAACAACCGUAAAGAAAAACUAAUUUAUAUUUUUAUUUAUAAAAUUAUAUGUAGAACGCAGCGAAAGUAUUAGUUCGUACCUUUUUCGGAAGCGAUUCGCGUUACAACUCGAUGAGCCCGGAUCGUCGAGGUUGAUUCACGUGUCCUUUGAUCGUCCUUGAUUAAAUCUUCUCACGUUCCAAACUCGCGAUGGAUCGAACUACAAAUGAGCACGAUCACAAAUCCAUUGUUCAAGUCCUUCUUAGAAUUAUAGGUUGACGGAGGAUGUGGUUUCUCUCUUUCGUUUUCUUAUUCUCUUUUAUUUUUCCGUUCUUGUACCUUUUGUUAUGUGGGAUCGCCCACAUAUUUAUAAAGGGUUCCAAAAUCCUAAUAGCAUAAGAGAUAAGACCAAAUCGGUUAUUAAUUGUUAUCCUAAUAUGACUAGAAUUUAUCUCUAACUAGCUUUCCAAUUUGAAAGCGAGAUUAAUUCCAAUCCAAUUAGAUAACAUAAUAUCCGUCGGAUCGAACCCGCUUAUGGGCGUACCCGAUUCGAUUUAACCGAAUGCCAAUAUCUCCCACUCGCACAUGACGGAAUCGAUGCCAUCGUAACAACUUCCUCAACAUCACACUACUAUUAAUUCUAUUCAUAUAGGAAAAUGAACAGUGCGACCGCCGAGUCAACCUGCAUUUUAGGAGC
rnacentral:lncRNA from 1 species